AACGAACGCUGGCGGCGCGUCUUAAGCAUGCAAGUCGGACGGCAAGGGUAGCAAUACCCCUAGAGUGGCGGACUGGUGAGUAACGCGUGGGUGACCUACCCUCGAGAUGGGGAUAGCCAUUAGAAAUAGUGGAUAAUACCGAAUACGCUCAUUGUCACUGUGGUGAUAUGAGGAAAUCAGGCUACGGCCUGGCUCGAGGAUGGGCCCGCGUCCCAUUAGCUAGUUGGUGAGGUAACGGCCCACCAAGGCGACGAUGGGUAUCCGGCCUGAGAGGGUGUACGGACACAUUGGGACUGAGAUACGGCCCAAACUCCUACGGGAGGCAGCAGCUAAGAAUAUUCCGCAAUGGACGAAAGUCUGACGGAGCGACGCCGCGUGGAUGAAGAAGGCCGAAAGGUUGUAAAAUCCUUUUGCCGAUGAAGAAUAAGUGUGGUAGGGAAUGACCGCAUGAUGACAUUAGUCGGUGAAUAAGCCCCGGCUAACUACGUG
rnacentral:rRNA from 1 species